rnacentral:rRNA from 1 species
UACGGAGGAUUCAAGCGUUAUCCGGAUUUAUUGGGUUUAAAGGGUGCGUAGGCGGUUUAGCAAGUCAGAAGUGAAAGCCCGGGGCUCAACCCCGGGACUGCAUUGGAAACUGUCGCGCUCGAGUGUCGGAGAGGUAAGUGGAAUUCCUAGUGUAGCGGUGAAAUGCGUAGAUAUUAGGAGGAACACCAGUGGCGAAGGCGGCUUACUGGACGACAACUGACGCUGAGGCUCGAAAGCGUGGGGAGCAAACAGG